rnacentral:rRNA from 1 species
UACAGAGGGGGCAAGCGUUGUUCGGAUUUACUGGGCGUAAAGGGCGCGUAGGCGGCCACCGCAAGUCAGUUGUGAAAUCUCUGGGCUUAACCCAGAACGGUCAGCUGAUACUGCGGGGCUAGAGUGCAGAAGGGGCAACUGGAAUUCUCCGGUGGUAGCGGUGAAAUGCGUAGAUAUCGAGAGGAACACCAGUGGCGAAGGCGAGUCCCUGGACAACACCUGACACUGAGGCACGAAAGCUAGGGGAGCAAACAGG